GUGCCUGUGCAGAUAUUGUGAUGAUCCAGUCUCCAUCCUCCUUGGCCGUGUCAUCAGGAGAGAAGGUCACCAUCAGCUGUAUAUCCAGUCAGAGUCUUUUCCACAGUGCAACUCAGAAGAAUUACUUGGCUUGGUACCAGCAGAAAGCAGGCCAGUCUCCUAAACUGCUGAUCUACUUAGCAUCCACUCGAGAAACUGGGGUCCCUGAUCGCUUCAUAGGUAGUGGGUCUGGGACAGAUUUCACUCUCACCAUCAGCAGUGCUCAAGCUGAAGACAUGGGAGAUUAUUACUGUCAGCAACAUCAUAGUUAUCCUCUCACAGUGCUUUACCCUCUAACGCAAACCUCCUCUGUGAGUCUCACCAGGUGCCUGUAGCACACACAGCCCUGGACCUGC